UCCAAGGUGGUGUGUAAACGG
rnacentral:siRNA from 1 species